UGGGGAAUAUUGCACAAUGGGCGAAAGCCUGAUGCAGCAACGCCGCGUGAGGGACGACGGCCUUCGGGUUGUAAACCUCUUUAGCAAGGAAGAAGCGAAAGUGACGGUACUUGCAGAAAAAGCGCCGGCUAACUACGUGCCAGCAGCCGCGGUAAUACGUAGGGCGCAAGCGUUAUCCGGAAUUAUUGGGCGUAAAGAGCUCGUAGGCGGUUUGUCGCGUCUGCUGUGAAAACCCGAGGCUCAACCUCGGGCCUGCAGUGGGUACGGGCAGACUAGAGUGCGGUAGGGGAGAUUGGAACUCCUGGUGUAGCGGUGGAAUGCGCAGAUAUCAGGAAGAACACCGAUGGCGAAGGCAGAUCUCUGGGCCGUAACUGACGCUGAGGAGCGAAAGGGUGGGGAGCAAACAGGCUUAGAUGACCCUGGUAGUCCACCCGUAAACGUUGGGAACUAGUUGUGGGUCCAUUCCACGGAUUCCGUGACGCAGCUAACGCAUUAAGUUCCCCGCCUGGGGAGUACGGCCGCAAGG
rnacentral:rRNA from 1 species